UACAACAGAGCUGUGAAAGCAAUCCAUGAAUUUUAAUUUGUGUGAUGGGCUCAUACAACAGGUGAUUACUCACCCAAUUUUGGUACCGGUAUAUAAUUUUAGAUGGACUCAACCUGCGAACGAUUUUUUUCAAAUUGAAUGUGGAUGCAGCGGGACCUAAUGAGGAUGGUAAAUGGGACGCAGAGGGUGUAGUUGUCGCAGCAGCAGGAGGUAUGGCAGGCAAUAUUGAAAGGAAUCGAGCUCGCGAAGGACUUAUUGUACCUCCUCAAACUUAGUGUAGAAUCAGACUCAUCUAAUGUCAUUGCCGCUAUUAACGACUCACAACAGAAAUAUCUUACUUUAAAAUUUCCAUAUAUGCGAAUCAAGCUGCUCAUUUCUUAGUUAAAUUAUUUGCUUUUACAUCUUGUUCUGAAUUUGAUUGGGUUGAAGAAAUUCCUCCUUGUAUUUAUGCUAUCGUGCCUUUUGAUUUAUUUUCACCUUUUUUUUUUAUCAAGGAUUUAUUGUCACCUUUGAUUUAAUAAAAACAGUCACUUUAACAACAAUAAAAAACAUGUAGUUUAAAAGUGGUUUA
rnacentral:lncRNA from 1 species